rnacentral:pre_miRNA from 2 species
GUUAAGGGGGUUGUUGUCUGGUUCAAGGUCACCACAAGUAGGCAAGCCCAUUUUGCUUAACAUGCAGUAUGGGUGUAUUCGAUCUAUUGGUGAUCUCGGACCAGGCUUCAAUCCCUUUAAC